rnacentral:rRNA from 1 species
AUUGAACGCUGGCGGCAGGCCUAACACAUGCAAGUCGAGCGAAGCGGCGGACGGGUGAGUAAUGCCUAGGAAUCUGCCUGGUAGUGGGGGAUAGCGUCCGGUAGCGGGCGCUAAUACCGCAUACUAUCAGAUGAGCCUAGUUUGGAUUAGCUAGUUGGUGGGGUAAAGGCCUACCAAGGCGACGAUCCGUAACUGGUCUGAGAGGAUGAUCAGUCACACUGGAACUGAGACACGGUCCAGACUCCUACGGGAGGCAGCAGUGGGGAAUAUUGGACAAUGGGCGAAAGCCUGAUCCAGCCAUGCCGCGUGUGUGAAGAAGGUCUUCGGAUUGUAAAGCACUUUAAGUUGGGAGGCGUUACCAACAGAAUAAGCACCGGCUAACUACGUGCCAGCAGCCGCGGUAAUAC